rnacentral:pre_miRNA from 1 species
AUACUCAUGGCAUGGGUGGGUAGCUCUUGUUGGAGAAGCAGGGCACGUGCAAUUCACAUGCGUAGAUCAUAUGAUAUCUUACAAGACUUUGCACGCGCUCCCCUUCUCCAACACGUGUUUCUCGCCCUCAAUUCUCUCAUUC